rnacentral:rRNA from 1 species
CCUACGGGAGGCAGCAGUGAGGAAUAUUGGUCAAUGGACGAGAGUCUGAACCAGCCAAGUAGCGUGAAGGAUGACUGCCCUAUGGGUUGUAAAGUUCUUUUAUAAAGGAAUAAAACGAGGCACGUGUGCCUUUUUGCAUGUACUUUAUGAAUAAGGAUCGGCUAACUCCGUGCCAGCAGCCGCGGUAAUACGGAGGAUCCGAGCGUUAUCCGGAUUUAUUGGGUUUAAAGGGAGCGUAGAUGGGUUGUUAAGUCAGUUGUGAAAGUUUGCGGCUCAACCGUAAAAUUGCAAUUGAUACUGGCAGUCUUGAGUACAGUUGAGGUAGGCGGAAUUCGUGGUGUAGCGGUGAAAUGCUGAGAUAUCACGAAGAACCCCGAUUGCGAAGGCAGCUUACUAAACUGUGACUGACAUUGAUGCUCGAAAGUGUGGGUAUCAAACAGGAUUAGAUACCCGAGUAGUC